rnacentral:rRNA from 1 species
AUUGAACGCUGGCGGCAGGCUUAACACAUGCAAGUCGAGCGAGAGGCGGACGGGUGAGUAAUGUCUGGGAAACUGCCUGAUGGAGGGGGAUAACUACUGGAAACGGUAGCUAAUACCGCAUACCAUCAGAUGUGCACAGAUGGGAUUAGCUAGUAGGUGGGGUAAUGGCUCACCUAGGCGACGAUCCCUAGGUGGUCUGAGAGGGUGCCCAGCCACACUGGAACUGAAACACGGGCCAGAUUGCAACGGGUAGCAGCAGUUGGGAAUAUUUAACAAUGGGCCCAAUCCUGAGGCAUCCAUGCCGCUUGUGUGGAGAAAGCCUUCGGGUUGUAAAGCACUUUCAGCUAGGGAGCGUUACUCGCAGAAGAAGCCCCGGCUAACUCCGUGCCAGCAGCCGCGGUAAUUC